rnacentral:rRNA from 1 species
GAUGAACGCUGGCGGCGUGCCUAAUACAUGCAAGUCGAGCGAACAGAUGAGGAGCUUGCUCCUCUGACGUUAGCGGCGGACGGGUGAGUAACACGUGGAUAACCUACCUAUAAGACUGGGAUAACUUCGGGAAACCGGAGCUAAUACCGGAUAAUAUAUUGAACCGCAUGGUUCAAUAGUGAAAGACGGUUUUGCUGUCACUUAUAGAUGGAUCCGCGCCGCAUUAGCUAGUUGGUAAGGUAACGGCUUACCAAGGCAACGAUGCGUAGCCGACCUGAGAGGGUGAUCGGCCACACUGGAACUGAGACACGGUCCAGACUCCUAAGGGAGGCAGCAGUAGGGAAUCUUCCGCAAUGGGCGAAAGCCUGACGGAGCAACGCCGCGUGAGUGAUGAAGGUCUUCGGAUCGUAAAACUCUGUUAUUAGGGAAGAACAAAUGUGUAAGUAACUAUGCACGGCUUGACGGUACCUAAUCAGAAAGCCACGGCUAACUACGUG